GAGCCGUGGUCGCCGUCCUGCCUCCUGCUGUGCACACAGAGCCGGUAUCCUGAGCGGAGGCAGGAGAAUGAUCAGCAGAGCAGCUGGUCUACUGACAGCCAGUGCUCUGCUUCACUGCUGCUGGCCCCGCCCACCUCACUCACAGGGCUGCGUGUAAUACACAGCCCGUCUGACCUCUUCCUGCCCAGUGCUGCUGCCUCCCCCACCACACUGUCCCGGCCCCGGAUGCUGCUCUUCACAGGACGUAGCAGCAAUAGCCAGGUGCUGUGAAAUUCCUGAGAAUCUACCAUCAGGCUGGAAGGACCCAGGCUCAUGAAACUGAAAAGAAUCAGCAUGUUGUGGAGGCGUUUCAUGGUUUGGCUGUUUCUCCUGGCUUCUGACUCCAUAUUAGCUUCCUAAUUCCCUUGCUGAACACAAAUAUAAUCAUGCACAUAAAGCCACUUGAUCUGUUUGCAACAACAUCUGCCACAUGAUUAUGUAGAAGACAAUGAACAAGUAUUGGAGUUAGUUCCAUCUGGUGACAACUUUAGCACAGAAUCAGGGAGACAGGCAAGGCAACAGAUGAUUGAGGAGUACUUCAACAGUGCACCCUCUUUUGCAGGCUGCUGCUUCAGUUGGGUAUCUUCCUCUGAAUCUACAGUAAAGAAGAGAUACGUGAAGAGAUGGUGACUCGACUGGUUUCAGCCAUUUCUCAUGCACUCAGAGGAGUAAUAUCCAACCGGUAAAAGAGGAGCUAUAGCCUGCAGGGGCAGUGGCUUAGACCAGUGGAAGUGCAAAACCUCUAUCGAAUCCGAACAUCAGUGUGCAAAGAUGUAGGUACAUGUAUGUAUGCAACUUUCGUUAAAAUCAGACAUCAUAGGCCAUAGCACUGUCCAAGCAUACUCUAUAGGUUGAAUGUCGUCCCACACCCAACCAGUGGUCCCGUGACCGCCGAGCGCAUAUAGAGGAUGUCCCGUCCUCCUCCCUGUCUUCCCCAACUAUAGUCAAUGUCUGAUUUGCUAAAUGAAUGCAUAUACGUGUGUCUAGGUCACCAAUUAUUGUUUGAAAUAUUUUUUUGUCAUUAUGUUUAAAGUGACAGUUAUGACAGUUAUUGUCUACUGUCAAAGGGUGGACUGUCGAAGUCAAAAAUAUUACAUACACACAACAUACAAACUCCAAACAGAGAGGUCUCUGUUCGUGCGCAUACACGCAGUGUGCACAGGAUAUACAGUAGCAUACGCAUUCACACAGACAAGCCACAAAGAUAUAUUCAACACAUAUUUCAUACAACACAUAAGUUACACAUAGACAAAACAUGUCAAGCACCAGACAUUAUAAUGUAUUUAUAUAAUAGAGUGUAACAUCAGAUAUAUAUGUAUUAUUGGAACGGAACAAGUUAAUUAUAUCAUGCUCAGUGUCAAAAUGAUCAGGAGAAUGGGUGGAUCAAUUUGAUAGCUAUGGGUAAAUUGUAGCACAUUGCAACGAUUAGUUAUGAUUAAAUGUAUGAAAUCUAAAGUCACUCUUAUUAGAACAAAGAAAGCAUGUAUGCAGAAAACCAGUGGCUAACCCCUAUAACUGCAUCUUGAAACUGGAUGUUGCUUGCAUAUGAACUGACCAAUAACACAUCAUGAAUGAGAGACCUCCCUCCCCUGGACCAAUAGCAGAAGACUCAGCCCCAGACAUGUACCUCCCAAUAGACAGUAUAAAGGUAUUUCCCCUCACCUAGGAAGCUCUGUUGGUGCAGAUUCUAAAAUGGAGACGACUGUUCACUGAGAAUGGGGUGACAUAUGUAUAUUGGCUGUAACUGAUUCUUAUGUAACUGUAACUGCUUCUUGUGUAAUUGUAACUCUGUAACCAUAUAUAUACAUGUUAUACUUAAUGAUAUACUGUACAUAUGUUAUUUUGUAUGCAUACCCCUUUUAAUAUCAAAUAUAUAUACCUCUGAGCAUUGGACCUCA